rnacentral:rRNA from 1 species
UACGGGGGGUGCGAGCGUUUGUCCGGAAUCAUUGGGCGUAAAGAGCGUGUAGGCGGCUCGGUAAGUCCGCUGUGAAAGUCCAGGGCUCAACCCUGGAAUGCCGGUGGAAACUGUCGAGCUAGAGUCCGGAAGAGGCGAGUGGAAUUCCUGGUGUAGCGGUGAAAUGCGCAGAUAUCAGGAGGAACACCGAUGGCGAAGGCAGCUCGCUGGGACGGUACUGACGCUGAGACGCGAAAGCGUGGGGAGCGAACAGG